UGGUGGCUUCAAAAUGCAAACCAGGGGCCGUAGAAAUCACUUGUAUGCAUUUCAAGUGGGACUCUGCCCUCCAUAGAUUUUGUAAUAAGUGCAGACCAAGAC